rnacentral:rRNA from 1 species
UACAGAGGGUGCAAGCGUUAAUCGGAAUUACUGGGCGUAAAGCGUGCGUAGACGGUUAUUUAAGUCAGGUGUGAAAGCCCAGGGCUCAACCUUGGAAUUGCAUUUGAGACUGAAUAGCUAGGGUGCGGAAGAGGGAAGCGGAAUUUCCGGUGUAGCGGUGAAAUGCGUAGAUAUCGGGAGGAACACCAGUGGCGAAGGCGGCUUCCUGGCCUGUUCUUGACGCUGAGGCGCGAAAGCUAGGGGAGCAAACGGG